GACAAAUGGUUCCAGUCUGCUCUCUCUCCAGGUGCGGAAGUGAAAUUGUUAGGAGAAAGCUUUUCACGGUGUUUCAGGCAGACUUUGACCUAUUUAUUUUUAAUCCAUCGUUUGGCUCUGUCAUUUCGCUUUGCUGUCCUUAAUCCUGAGCUGUUCCUUUUGUUUCACCAGCUCACAAUUUUUGUGUGUGAGCAUCUCUGGAUUAAUCUUGCUUGCUUACUAUUUUGGGAGAAAGUGCGCUGCACUCCUCUGCUCCUUUGUGAGAUCUUCCAAACAGAAAUACAUUUACUCAGGACUUACAUGACGUGGAGAAGUCACCUCCCUUGGCUCACGAGUGGUUUCUACACUGUCUACACAACGUGAGUUUGCAACUUUGCUUCUUGGCAUGAGGUAAAAAGAUAAAAACAACAGACAAACCCCAAACCCCAAUAGGUUUGACUACCAGAUUUGAACUGUCCGGAAAUGAAAAGUAUGGAAAAGCUCGGUGAGCUUGCUGCUGAAUUGGUACUGGGGAAACAGGAAAAUAAGAAAACAUGGGUCAACGGAGUUAAGUUAAAAGAUGUUCCAGUCCUGGCUUCCCGAACUGCUCUGCUGAGGCGUUUAUUCUUGACUUAGUUUGUUCUCCACUAUGUAAAGCUGGAUCUUCCCAGCAUGAAUCAGAAUCUUUCCAAAACAUGCAUGCUUUGGGGGCAAAAAUCUGUAAGGGACUGGGAUACGAUAAGUCGUGUCUAUCUUGCGUCUCUCUCAUCAGGCUUACACUCAAGAUUCCACCAGACCAAGAGCAGUAUGCUUCCAUAAUUUAAGAUCAUACUAAAGUAUAAUAGUUGAAUUAAAAAAAAGUAUUAAGAAAUGCCAAGGUAAGUGCUGUACUGUGAGAAAUUCAAGUUGACCUGUUUCUAUCAUCCUUUUCCUGCUUUAGUGGUGCCACUUAUACUUCAAAAUGCAGUCAGGGCCCUGAGGGCACUCACGGGUGUUAACUGCCUUGAGAAGCCUCACCUGGGGCCAGCACAGGGGUCAUGUGCUCCAUUUAAGCUCUCCAUUGUGAGUUUGCUCUGUUCCUGCCUAAGCUAUGCUGUAGGUGGGUCUGCCUUCAGCACAGCCUUUUGGAUAGGCCUUAAUAUCUCUCUGCAGGUAGCCCUCUUCCUGGAGGACCCCAUCAGGUGUCUGUUGCAGCUAAUGACCAGUUCUGGCUCUGCUUCCUUUUAUUCCUGGAUGGAGCCUGGGCCUGGUUUAUUCUUUGCAGCCUCUGAGGCAGCUAAAAGACCGUGAAUUUCUUUCUGCCUGCUAUUUUCAGAUCUUGUGGGACUGCUUGUGCUGAGAUUGCCCUUGGCUCCUGGCUUGUGUGCCCUUUGGGAACAGUGGCCUGCUGCUCUCUGACAAAUAUUUUGGAGUUAAGCCUGCUCUCAUUUAAGUUAGGGGAACAAGCUAGUAAUCUUUCCAGGGGGGGGUCCAGCUAUUUUUGGCACUUCACUUUAUAUUCACUCAAGCAGAGCUAUCCACAUGCACUUGCAGAUAAGGGCCCCAUGAGGAAUAUCUCUACUUAUAGCAUACAGUUCCUCUUUCUCUCUUAGGGUGGGGUUCAUGUAAGAUGACCAUCCUUCUAUUUAUUUAUUUAGUCUGCUAAGGGUUUCUUCAGCUCUACCUCCUCCUCAUGUCUGGAGUUUCCUUUUUGGAUGCUGUUGAGUUAGCAGAGGUGGGGAGUGGCAAGUAGUGUGUGAGCAAACAUGGGCUGUGCAUUUGUCAGCUCUCUUCAUGAUGUGCAUUAUAAUCCUGACCCUGCCCUGAGCUGUACUAAGGCAUGGGAUGUGCCUGGACAUGCAGAGGAACAGACACCCUUAUGCUGCAGGUCUACAAGGAACCCUUAGUUUUGCUAAUUGGCCUGUAAAGUCUCUAGCUUGCUGUGCUGGUUAUCUUCUCUCCUUGCAGUUCUGUAUGAUUAAUGCAUCUGAACACAAGAGGAGCAGGCAUAACAUACCUGUGCAGUACAGAGCCUGUGGUGCCCUCCGCCUCAUUCUGUCCUCGGUGUGCCUGCCCCACAUCAAGCUGUCAUUGCUGCAGCUCAGCUCCGUGCUGAAAUGCUGGCAGUGCUCUGACUUCAGAGUAGUAACACAGGCUACCUUUACAAAUCCCCCUGCUAGUCCAACUCUGAGCCAGCACUGUGCAAGGCCAAUGGGAUGAACAGUGUCACACCAUACAGUGCACUGUAUAAGAUGAUGCCCAAGUGAAAACUACCCAGUUCCACAGCAAAGCCUGUGGAGAGCACAGCAAAUGGAGAACUCCUCACUCUGCACUCCUGGACAAGCCCUGCCAUCCCCACUCUGGCACGAUGAGGAGUUUCAGAUGACUUGCUUUGCCUCACUUCUAUUCCAGAUUUUUACUUCUGCGGUAAAAAUUGCGUUGCUCACUCAGCUUAGCUAAGUACUUUAAAACUUUUGCAUGGAUGACACUGUACAAGUACGAAGUCUCAUCACUGUAGUUUCAGAUUUAAGACUUGCAACUAGCAUCUCCAGCUUUUUUGCUGCUGUUGUACCUAAAAAAGAAGGAAAUGUGUUCUUCUUUCUGUGGCAAUCUCAGUAAUGCCCUGCAAUAAACCAUAUGUGGUCUCUUACUUUAUCUCAAAGGCAAAAAUGUUGCCAAUCACUUGGCUGUACAGCUGGCCUUGGUGUCAACAGGCCACUCUUCACAGACCUCAAAAGCAUUUGCAGAAGGGGAGCAAAGGCGUUUCUGAUUCAUCAAGUGUGGGCUUCUGUCAGCAAGCUUUACUUGCUAAAACACAGUGUCUUAAGGGAGGUGGUGCCACCGACCUGUUGUUGCUGCUGGGAAGAAAACAUUCAAAAGCUGUAUUUCUCAAGGUUCUUCAUUCUGGAGACUGGUUUUAAAUGUGCACACACAUCUGCUGAACUCUCCUCCCAUCUUAUGUGUAUUCUGCCUUCAGAGGGAUGUUUGACUACAGCCAAGUAUGAUCAGGUUGUAAUGCAAAUCACAAACCAAGCCACCCCCCACCACUAUGGAUGCGGAUACUUAGAGGGUAGGCUUGCAUGUACUGUUGCCUCGUAAUUUUUUAUGUGGGUCCCCUGUUUCCUCUUCCAGGUUUUGCUUGCCUUUUGCUCUCUGCUUCAUUUGAAUCUAGCAUCCUUCAUAAAUGA